UGGGGAACGCGAUCUCCCCACGAGGCGACAGGCUGAAGAAUCGC
rnacentral:ncRNA from 1 species